rnacentral:rRNA from 1 species
UACAGGGGGGGCGAGCGUUGUUCGGAAUUACUGGGCGUAAAGGGCUCGUAGGUGGCCAACUAAGUCAGACGUGAAAUCCCUCAGCUUAACUGGGGAACUGCGUCUGAUACUGGAUGGCUUGAGUUUGGGAGAGGGAUGCGGAAUUCCAGGUGUAGCGGUGAAAUGCGUAGAUAUCUGGAGGAACACCGGUGGCGAAGGCGGCAUCCUGGACCAACACUGACACUGAGGAGCGAAAGCCAGGGGAGCAAACGGG